UCUCACACACACACACACCUGUACAACCAUCGUGAUUUCCUCCAUCGUCAACAUCCAUAGCCGAUUAUGAAGUUUACGAUCACUACUACAUCGAUGUUCACGACACUGAUGUGUGAAAUCAAGGUCCCGAUGACGAUGGUGAACGAGACAUUGAAGGUGACAGAGACUCUAGGGCUUCAAUUCUUGGAAUUCUGUGAGACUUUCAUGAAUUGAGUGUACAAGGUGUCGUGUGUCAUAAACUCUUCCCACUCCUUCGCUCCAUCUCAUCAGUUAUGGAAAGAGAGUAAGAGAUGGAUCGAUGAUGAUGAUUUGAUGCAAAAACCACAAAUGGCCAUAGAUACAAAUUUGCAGGCAUCAAUUGUCGCCUUCUGAUAGAACCUGGUACUGCCCUAAAUGUCAUCGAAUUGUUUGAAUUUACCUAUGUUUUCCCCAAAGAAUCGAAUGUUUUGAACUCAAAAUAAGGAAGGAGGAGCAGAUGACGGUUUUAGUGGUAGCUGUACGUGGUGCCACCAUGUUCAUCCAGUUUUCACCAAUCGCGGUUUCACCUCGUGUCUCAUUUACACGGUGUUGAGGGGUCAACUUUUGAAGGCUCUGUUACUGUUGGCCAGCACAGAGUCCUCAUAUUUGCACAACAUAAGAUUCUGAUAAGGAUAGUUCAUCUGAAGAUGGAUUGGAUGCAUAUGUUGAUGCAGGUCAUUCACAGCAGUUAAUUCACCUACAAGUUGAAUGUCAUAAAUUAAGAACUUAGAUUUGUUAAAGUACUAACUCUUUUUAGAUUGAAUCUGAAUAACUCGAAAUAACUAGUGUUUUUAUCUGAUGUGUUUUCAAGGGCAAUGUCAGAAGAUUCACCUGGAAUGAGUAUAUUACCGCAAGACGGAAUGAAUUUGAGCAUGAACAUUGCAAAUCAUGAACUUAAAAACUGGAUACACCA